rnacentral:rRNA from 2 species
AGCGUACACGGUGGAUGCCCUGGCAGUCAGAGGCGAUGAAGGACGUGCUAAUCUGCGAUAAGCGUCGGUAAGGUGAUAUGAACCGUUAUAACCGGCGAUUUCCGAAUGGGGAAACCCAGUGUGUUUCGACACACUAUCAUUAACUGAAUCCAUAGGUUAAUGAGGCGAACCGGGGGAACUGAAACAUCUAAGUACCCCGAGGAAAAGAAAUCAACCGAGAUUCCCCCAGUAGCGGCGAGCGAACGGGGAGCAGCCCAGAGCCUGAAUCAGUGUGUGUGUUAGUGGAAGCGUCUGGAAAGGCGCGCGAUACAGGGUGACAGCCCCGUACACAAAAAUGCACAUGCUGUGAGCUCGAUGAGUAGGGCGGGACACGUGGUAUCCUGUCUGAAUAUGGGGGGACCAUCCUCCAAGGCUAAAUACUCCUGACUGACCGAUAGUGAACCAGUACCGUGAGGGAAAGGCGAAAAGAACCCCGGCGAGGGGAGUGAAAAAGAACCUGAAACCGUGUACGUACAAGCAGUGGGAGCACGCUUAGGCGUGUGACUGCGUACCUUUUGUAUAAUGGGUCAGCGACUUAUAUUCUGUAGCAAGGUUAACCGAAUAGGGGAGCCGAAGGGAAACCGAGUCUUAACUGGGCGUUAAGUUGCAGGGUAUAGACCCGAAACCCGGUGAUCUAGCCAUGGGCAGGUUGAAGGUUGGGUAACACUAACUGGAGGACCGAACCGACUAAUGUUGAAAAAUUAGCGGAUGACUUGUGGCUGGGGGUGAAAGGCCAAUCAAACCGGGAGAUAGCUGGUUCUCCCCGAAAGCUAUUUAGGUAGCGCCUCGUGAAUUCAUCUCCGGGGGUAGAGCACUGUUUCGGCAAGGGGGUCAUCCCGACUUACCAACCCGAUGCAAACUGCGAAUACCGGAGAAUGUUAUCACGGGAGACACACGGCGGGUGCUAACGUCCGUCGUGAAGAGGGAAACAACCCAGACCGCCAGCUAAGGUCCCAAAGUCAUGGUUAAGUGGGAAACGAUGUGGGAAGGCCCAGACAGCCAGGAUGUUGGCUUAGAAGCAGCCAUCAUUUAAAGAAAGCGUAAUAGCUCACUGGUCGAGUCGGCCUGCGCGGAAGAUGUAACGGGGCUAAACCAUGCACCGAAGCUGCGGCAGCGACGCUUAUGCGUUGUUGGGUAGGGGAGCGUUCUGUAAGCCUGUGAAGGUGUGCUGUGAGGCAUGCUGGAGGUAUCAGAAGUGCGAAUGCUGACAUAAGUAACGAUAAAGCGGGUGAAAAGCCCGCUCGCCGGAAGACCAAGGGUUCCUGUCCAACGUUAAUCGGGGCAGGGUGAGUCGACCCCUAAGGCGAGGCCGAAAGGCGUAGUCGAUGGGAAACAGGUUAAUAUUCCUGUACUUGGUGUUACUGCGAAGGGGGGACGGAGAAGGCUAUGUUGGCCGGGCGACGGUUGUCCCGGUUUAAGCGUGUAGGCUGGUUUUCCAGGCAAAUCCGGAAAAUCAAGGCUGAGGCGUGAUGACGAGGCACUACGGUGCUGAAGCAACAAAUGCCCUGCUUCCAGGAAAAGCCUCUAAGCAUCAGGUAACAUCAAAUCGUACCCCAAACCGACACAGGUGGUCAGGUAGAGAAUACCAAGGCGCUUGAGAGAACUCGGGUGAAGGAACUAGGCAAAAUGGUGCCGUAACUUCGGGAGAAGGCACGCUGAUAUGUAGGUGAAGUCCCUCGCGGAUGGAGCUGAAAUCAGUCGAAGAUACCAGCUGGCUGCAACUGUUUAUUAAAAACACAGCACUGUGCAAACACGAAAGUGGACGUAUACGGUGUGACGCCUGCCCGGUGCCGGAAGGUUAAUUGAUGGGGUCAGCGCAAGCGAAGCUCUUGAUCGAAGCCCCGGUAAACGGCGGCCGUAACUAUAACGGUCCUAAGGUAGCGAAAUUCCUUGUCGGGUAAGUUCCGACCUGCACGAAUGGCGUAAUGAUGGCCAGGCUGUCUCCACCCGAGACUCAGUGAAAUUGAACUCGCUGUGAAGAUGCAGUGUACCCGCGGCAAGACGGAAAGACCCCGUGAACCUUUACUAUAGCUUGACACUGAACAUUGAGCCUUGAUGUGUAGGAUAGGUGGGAGGCUUUGAAGUGUGGACGCCAGUCUGCAUGGAGCCGACCUUGAAAUACCACCCUUUAAUGUUUGAUGUUCUAACGUUGACCCGUAAUCCGGGUUGCGGACAGUGUCUGGUGGGUAGUUUGACUGGGGCGGUCUCCUCCUAAAGAGUAACGGAGGAGCACGAAGGUUGGCUAAUCCUGGUCGGACAUCAGGAGGUUAGUGCAAUGGCAUAAGCCAGCUUGACUGCGAGCGUGACGGCGCGAGCAGGUGCGAAAGCAGGUCAUAGUGAUCCGGUGGUUCUGAAUGGAAGGGCCAUCGCUCAACGGAUAAAAGGUACUCCGGGGAUAACAGGCUGAUACCGCCCAAGAGUUCAUAUCGACGGCGGUGUUUGGCACCUCGAUGUCGGCUCAUCACAUCCUGGGGCUGAAGUAGGUCCCAAGGGUAUGGCUGUUCGCCAUUUAAAGUGGUACGCGAGCUGGGUUUAGAACGUCGUGAGACAGUUCGGUCCCUAUCUGCCGUGGGCGCUGGAGAACUGAGGGGGGCUGCUCCUAGUACGAGAGGACCGGAGUGGACGCAUCACUGGUGUUCGGGUUGUCAUGCCAAUGGCACUGCCCGGUAGCUAAAUGCGGAAGAGAUAAGUGCUGAAAGCAUCUAAGCACGAAACUUGCCCCGAGAUGAGUUCU